AGCAGCCGCGGUAAUUCCAGCUCCAAUAGCGUAUAUUAAAGUUGUUAGCAGUUAAAAAGCUCGUAGUUGAAUUUCGGGAUCAAUAUUUCGGUCAUGCCGUUGGUAUGCACUGUUAUCAUUGAUUUCUCACCUUCUAAAGAACCGUAAUGCCAUUAAUUUGGUGUUACGGGGAAUUAGGACUGUUACCUUGAAAAAAUUAGAGUGCUUAAAGCAGGCAAGUGCCUGAAUACAUUAGCAUGGAAUAAUGAAAUAGGACGGCAUGGUUCUAUUCUGUUGGUUCCUAGGAUCACCGUAAUGAUUAAUAGGGAUAGUUGGGGGCAUUAGUAUUCAAUUGUCAGAGGUGAAAUUCUUGGAUUUAUUGAAGACUAACUUCUGCGAAAGCAUUUGCCAAGGAUGUUUUCAUUAAUCAAGAACGAAAGUUAGGGGAUCGAAGACGAUCAGAUACCGUCGUAGUCUUAACCAUAAACUAUGCCGACUAGGGAUCGGACGAUGUUAAUUUUUUAAUGACUCG
rnacentral:rRNA from 1 species